GUGAACGCUGGCGGUAGGCCUAACACAUGCAAGUCGAACGGCAGCACCGUAAGAGCUUGCUCUUACGGGUGGCGAGUGGCGGACGGGUGAGGAAUACAUCGGAAUCUACUUUUUCGUGGGGGAUAACGUAGGGAAACUUACGCUAAUACCGCAUACGACCUACGGGUGAAAGCAGGGGAUCUUCGGACCUUGCGCGAUUGAAUGAGCCGAUGUCGGAUUAGCUAGUUGGCGGGGUAAAGGCCCACCAAGGCGACGAUCCGUAGCUGGUCUGAGAGGAUGAUCAGCCACACUGGAACUGAGACACGGUCCAGACUCCUACGGGAGGCAGCAGUGGGGAAUAUUGGACAAUGGGCGCAAGCCUGAUCCAGCCAUACCGUGUGGGUGAAGAAGGCCUUCGGGUUGUAAAGCCCUUUUGUUGGGAAAGAAAAGCAGCAGGUUAAUACCCCGCUGUUCUGACGGUACCCAAAGAAUAAGCACCGGCUAACUUCGUG
rnacentral:rRNA from 1 species